GACGAGGGGUCCUAGCGUUGCUCGGAAUCACUGGGCGUAAAGCGCACGUAGGCGGACUCUUAAGUCGGUGGUGAAAUCCUGGAGCUCAACUCCAGAACUGCCUUCGAUACUGGGAGUCUCGAGUCCGGGAGAGGUGAGUGGAACUGCGAGUGUAGAGGUGAAAUUCGUAGAUAUUCGCAAGAACACCAGUGGCGAAGGCGGCUCACUGGCCCGGUACUGACGCUGAGGCACGAAAGCGUGGGGAGCAAACAGG
rnacentral:rRNA from 1 species